rnacentral:rRNA from 4 species
AGAGUUUGAUCCUGGCUCAGGACGAACGCUGGCGGCGUGCCUAACACAUGCAAGUCGAGCGAGAGGAGUUCCUUCGGGAACAAAUCUAGCGGCGGACGGGUGAGUAACACGUGGGCAACCUGCCUUGUAGAGGGGAAUAGCCUUCCGAAAGGAAGAUUAAUACCGCAUAACAUUACAUUUUCGCAUGAAGAAGUAAUUAAAGGAGCAAUCCGCUACAAGAUGGGCCCGCGGCGCAUUAGCUAGUUGGUGAGGUAACGGCUCACCAAGGCGACGAUGCGUAGCCGACCUGAGAGGGUGAUCGGCCACAUUGGGACUGAGACACGGCCCAGACUCCUACGGGAGGCAGCAGUGGGGAAUAUUGCACAAUGGGGGAAACCCUGAUGCAGCAACGCCGCGUGAGUGAUGAAGGUUUUCGGAUCGUAAAGCUCUGUCUUCAGGGACGAUAAUGACGGUACCUGAGGAGGAAGCCACGGCUAACUACGUGCCAGCAGCCGCGGU